rnacentral:rRNA from 1 species
AAUUAGCGGAGGAAAAGAAACUAACAAGGAUUCCCCUAGUAACGGCGAGUGAAGCGGGAAGAGCUCAAAUUUGAAAUCUGGUAGCCUUCGGUUGCCCGAGUUGUAAUCUAGAGAAGUGUUUUCCGUGCCGGCCCAUGUACAAGUCCCUUGGAACAGGGCGUCAUAGAGGGUGAGAAUCCCGUCCUUGACAUGGACCCCCGGUGCUUUGUGAUACACUUUCAACGAGUCGAGUUGUUUGGGAAUGCAGCUCAAAAUGGGUGGUGAAUUCCAUCUAAAGCUAAAUAUUGGCGAGAGACCGAUAGCGAACAAGUACCGUGAGGGAAAGAUGAAAAGCACUUUGGAAAGAGAGUUAAACAGUACGUGAAAUUGUUGAAAGGGAAACGAUUGAAGUCAGUCAUGCUCUUGGGACUUACCUCCCUUGAGUGGGGUCAACAUCAGUUUUGAUCGAUGGAUAAAGGCACUAGGAAGGUAGCACUCUCGGGUGAACUUAUAGCCUAGCGUCAUAUACAUUGAUUGGGACUGAGGAACGCAGCAUGCCUUUUGGCCGGGAUUCGUCCACGUACAUGCUUAGGAUGUUGACAUAAUGGCUUUAAACGACCCGUCUUAAAAAACCGGG